CCUACGGUAGGCAGCAGUGAGGAAUAUUGGUCAAUGGACGAUAGUCUGAACCAGCCAAGUAGCGUGAAGGAUGACUGCCCUAUGGGUUGUAAACUUCUUUUAUAAGGGAAUAAAGUGCGGCACGUGUGCCUUUUUGCAUGUACUUUAUGAAUAAGGAUCGGCUAACUCCGUGCCAGCAGCCGCGGUAAUACGGAGGAUCCGAGCGUUAUCCGGAUUUAUUGGGUUUAAAGGGAGCGUAGAUGGGUUGUUAAGUCAGUUGUGAAAGUUUGCGGCUCAACCGUAAAAUUGCAGUUGAUACUGGCAGUCUUGAGUACAGUAGAGGUAGGCGGAAUUCGUGGUGUAGCGGUGAAAUGCUUAGAUAUCACGAAGAACUCCGAUUGCGAAGGCAGCUUACUAAACUGUGACUGACGUUGAUGCUCGAAAGUGUGGGUAUCAAACAGGAUUAGAUACCCUUGUAGUC
rnacentral:rRNA from 1 species